rnacentral:rRNA from 1 species
CCUACGGGAGGCAGCAGUGGGGAAUAUUGGACAAUGGGCGAAAGCCUGAUCCAGCAAUGCCGCGUGAGUGAUGAAGGCCUUAGGGUCGUAAAGCUCUUUUACCCGGGAUGAUAAUGACAGUACCGGGAGAAUAAGCCCCGGCUAACUCCGUGCCAGCAGCCGCGGUAAUACGGAGGGGGCUAGCGUUGUUCGGAAUUACUGGGCGUAAAGCGUGCGUAGGCGGUUAUUCAAGUCAGAGGUGAAAGCCCGGGGCUCAACCCCGGGAACGGCCUUUGAAACUAGGUAGCUAGAAUCUUGGAGAGGUCAGUGGAAUUCCGAGUGUAGAGGUGAAAUUCGUAGAUAUUCGGAAGAACACCAGUGGCGAAGGCGACUGACUGGACAAGUAUUGACGCUGAGGCACGAAAGCGUGGGGAGCAAACAGGGAUUAGAUACCCUGGUAGUCCACGCCGUAAAACGAUGAUAACUAGCUGUUACGGGUACUUGGUAGUCUGAGUGGUCGGCGAGACGUACGACAUUAAGUUAAUUCCGUCCGUCGGGUAGGUACGGUCGGCGAAGUAAGUUAAAACGUUAAAAGGUAAAGUUAGUACGGACGUGAGACGUGUCCGAACGGACGACGACGAGGGAAGGUAGG